CCGGUUUCUUCUUCCACUUCCUUCAGAUCUCCACCCGAGCAAAGAAGAAAUGAGGCACCUUUUGCAGAUAAAUGUGUGGAGUGUCUGGGAUCUUGCAGAAGAUGUGAUCCAGGCUUCUUGUGAGGAUAAAAGCCUUAAUCCCUGCAGCCCUCCCACCCCAAAUGAGACAAUCAAGGAUGGAAACGGAUACAUUUGCAGAUGAAAACCAGCUUUUAGAAAGUGCAGUUGGUGCUUUUUCAGAGACCAGUUUCUGGACCUCUUGAUGGCUAUCCUACUUGAAUGACUCCUCUGAGGCUUCCUCUUUGAAGGUCAGGUUCCAGACAUGACGUUGUUCCCAGCUCCAUGGAAUCCUUAGACAGGAAGCAGUGGUGUACUGGUUGGAUCAACGCACGUCCGACCCGGCUCUUAGGUCUUGGGGAUCUUCUCUGGAUUCCGCAGGUUAUCUUCUGAACGACCGUGAGACCGCCUCUCCGUAACUCGUAUUGGGACGGACUACAGCCAGAAGAAGUCUCCAUGAUCCUUAAAGCUUAACCGGGGGACUCGUCACUAGAAUUUGCUGCCAGAGUUCUAAAUAUUCAGUCUUGUAUUGAAACCCCUGUAUUUUGUACUGUUCUUUAAAUGACCAAUAAAGUAUUUGUGCU